AGUGAACGCUGGCGGCGUGCCUAAUACAUGCAAGUCGAACGGAGAUUAAGUAGCUUGCUAUUUAAUCUUAGUGGCGCACGGGUGAGUAAUAUAUAGCUAACUUGCCCAUUACUAAGGGACAACAGUUGGAAACGACUGCUAAUACCUUAUACUCCGUAUCUAUAUAAGUAGAUACGGGAAAGUUUUUAGGUAAUGGAUAGGGCUAUAUCGUAUCAGCUAGUUGGUAAGGUAAUGGCGGACCAAGGCUAUGACGCGUAACAGGGCAAAGAGGAUGAGCAGUCACACCGUAAGUGAGGCACGGGCCAGACAUAUACGAGAGGGAGCAGUAGGGAAUAUUGCUCAAAGGGGGAAACCCUAAAGCAGCAACGCCUCGUAGAGGAUGACUCUUUUGGGAGAGUAAACUCCUUUUCUUGGGAAAGAAUUAUGACGGUACCCAAAGAAUAAGCACCGGCUAACUCCGUG
rnacentral:rRNA from 1 species